rnacentral:rRNA from 1 species
GACGAACCGAGCGAACGUUGUUCGGAAUCACUGGGCUUAAAGGGCGCGUAGGCGGCCAGCACAAGUCAGUUGUGAAAUCUCCGAGCUUAACUCGGAAAGGUCAACUGAUACUGUGCGGCUAGAGUGCGGAAGGGGCAACUGGAAUUCUUGGUGUAGCGGUGAAAUGCGUAGAGAUCGGGAGGAACACCUGUGGCGAAGGCGGCCGACUGGGCCGACCCUGACGCUGAGGCGCGAAGGCGUGGGGAGCGAACGGG